AGACCCCCUGGUGAGGACGCUUGAACCCGGGCUGUCACCUGAGCACAGGCUGCCACUCUGAGCUUUUGGGGCGCCCUGUGCCCGUCGGGCUGAUGCUCCUCUGGCUCCCGGCCACCUGGGGCUGACACCGGUUCUGUGGGUCCUGAUAUGUUCACCUGUCGCCACUCCUGUGGCCACAGCUACCCAUGAAGCGCUUUGGCAGCCUCAGGAGCAACAAGAAACACAAGGACCAAAAUCGAAGCACGGAGAGGCGCCAGUCGGAGCCUCAUGGCCUUUUCGGGAGGUGACUUUGGCAAAAUGUCUGAACUGUAAAUGAAAACUGGAAGAGCAGAAAAAGAAAAAGCCUCCGGCCUCUCCUCCUCUCCGUCAACACCCACCCAAGUGACCAAGCAGCACACGUUUCCCCUGGAAUCCUAUAAGCACGAGCCUGAACGGUUAGAGAAUCGCAUCUAUGCCUCGUCUUCCCCUCCGGACACAGGGCAGAGGUUCUGCCCAUCUUCCUUCCAGAGCCCGACCAGGCCUCCACUGGCAUCACCGACACACUAUGCUCCCUCCAAAGCCG
rnacentral:sRNA from 1 species